ACAAGAUUUUCUGCAGGACCUUUUUGAAAGGGAUGAGAUCUUUGGAAGAACUGAGCUUCAGAGAAGUAGCAUUAUGAUCUAUAAUCUUGAGGAGGAUGUUUGCACAUAAUGAAGGAAACCACUGAAUGGGAGUUCUAUUAAUCAAAUCUUUUCUGGUCCAUCAACUGGUAGACAUAUACCUACUAUCAAUAUAAAACUUAAGGUUGAUCCAAGAUGGUAAACCAAAGGGGACACAUGACAAAGAGAAGAAACCACCUCUACUUAAACAAAGUUCUUUUACAGAUUGAGGCACUGAACUGGGACAUGAAGAAGUUAUGAAAUUGCUCUGGAUUCUGAAGAUGGAGGCAGAAUGGGAAAGAAUUCAGUAAACCAAAUUCCACCCCUGCAUCAAUGAAAAGAAAG